UGGAGGAGAAGAAUGAAGAAGAAAGAAAAAGAAAGAAAAGGAAAGGAGAAGAAGAAGAGGGAGGGAAAGAAAAAGAAAGAAAAAAAAUAAGUAAAGGUAAAUUUUUUUUGUAUUAUUUUAAUUUUUUUGUAUUAUUUGUGUAAAAAAUCUAUGUUAUGUACAUUAUAUGUGUUUUAUUAUUUUAUUUAGCGUAUAUAUUUUAUGAAAUUUAUUUAGCAUGAAAAAAGCC
rnacentral:lncRNA from 1 species